ensembl:ncRNA C07G1.12 ncRNA
ACUACUUCUGAUACUUCUGAAAGAAGGCGAAAAAGAUCGUCGCAAAUUAUGGAGAUGAAAGCGAGAGAAAAAAGAGUAUAUGGGAAAUGUCGAAAGGUGACGUUUAUGGAAUCGAAAGCUGUGAGAAUCGGAAUUUUCAGGUCAUAAAAUGAAGGAAUGGAACAAAUUCACUUGAGAUAUCCGAGUGAUGUGUGAAACAA